AGGUUUGGUAAUUGCUCCAAGAAUGAAAUUGUAUCCAUAUUCCCAAACUUCAUCUGAACCAGCAUAUCUCUCUUCCUGUGUGAACACAUCUAUUAAGACUACAAAAACAAGGGACUAAGGUAAUUUCUUCUUCCUUCCACUCCACAUAUUAGUGAGCAGUCAAGUCACUAUGGGAAAGAGAAGAAAAUCUUAGGACUCCCAAGGUCAUGAAUUGAUGAGCUCUCUGACUAUAUUCAAAAGGGGAUUGCCCGUUAACACAAAUGCAGUAAAUAUUCAGUCCUUAUUUGAAGGAACUUGGGGAAAAUGGAGAUUGUUGUGUUAAAAAUGAUUGGCAGGCAUGUGUCUGCAGGGGACUUACCCCACCGCAGAAGACCUUGUCUGUGGGAGAAAGUCGGCCUGAUGUCCGUCCCAAUAAAAGCCUGGGAAAAACAUCUGUCAAGUGAUAUUUAGAACUGACAUUUUCAUAAGGAUCCAGUGUUUUUCUCAGGGCUUGGAAAACCGUAUUUUUCAUUCUUCCUUCUUCCCAUCGUCUGUAAUUAAUCAGAGGCCAAAAGCCAAGCACUUCUCUCCAGAGGGCUGAGCCUUGAACUAAGCUUUAAAGAAAUCAGUGAACCGAGUGAGAUGAAAGAAAAUGAAGAAGGUGGUCCACAUUGAGCAAUUAGCCAGUUUCCUAGAGUGUGGUGGUGAAGAACGUGAGUUUUUGAAUCUAGACAGAAUGGUUUUGAAGGAUUCUGAGAAAUGUGUUGACCUCUUUGGACUCCAGUUGCCUCACUUGCAAGGCACUAAUAAUUUCUCCAUCAAAGAUAGUUGUAAUGAUGAAAAGAACCAUUUGUGUAGCUUCCAGUGAGCACCCAGUGCUGGUUGUUUUUAUAUUUAUCCACAGAACUCAAGCAAUCCAGUUAGUCUGGAGCAGAGGGUGGGGUCAGGGGUGGUGGAGAAUCAGAUUUGAGAGACAGCAGGGCCAGAUGAUCAAUGGACUUGGAUCGCACCAUAUGGAAUGUGGAUGUUAUCUAGAAGGUAAUGAUUAACCAGAGAAGAGUCUUCAGCAAAGAGCACAGCAUUUUAGAAAAAGCACCUGGGC
rnacentral:lncRNA from 1 species